UCAGCGGCGGACGGGUGAGUAACACGUGGGCAACCUGCCUGUAAGACUGGGAUAACUUCGGGAAACCGGAGCUAAUACCGGAUAAUGCAUAACCUCUCAUGAGGCUAUGCUGAAAGAUGGUUUCGGCUAUCACUUACAGAUGGGCCCGCGGCGCAUUAGCUAGUUGGUGAGGUAACGGCUCACCAAGGCAACGAUGCGUAGCCGACCUGAGAGGGUGAUCGGCCACACUGGGACUGAGACACGGCCCAGACUCCUACGGGAGGCAGCAGUAGGGAAUCUUCCGCAAUGGACGAAAGUCUGACGGAGCAACGCCGCGUGAGUGAUGAAGGUUUUCGGAUCGUAAAACUCUGUUGUCAGGGAAGAACAAGUGCCGGAGUAACUGCCGGCACCUUGACGGUACCUGACCAGAAAGCCACGGCUAACUACGUGCCAGCAGCCGCGGUAAUACGUAGGUGGCAAGCGUUGUCCGGAAUUAUUGGGCGUAAAGCGCGCGCAGGCGGUCUCUUAAGUCUGAUGUGAAAGCCCACGGCUCAACCGUGGAGGGUCAUUGGAAACUGGGGGACUUGAGUGCAGAAGAGGAAAGUGGAAUUCCACGUGUAGCGGUGAAAUGCGUAGAGAUGUGGAGGAACACCAGUGGCGAAGGCGACUUUCUGGUCUGUAACUGACGCUGAGGCGCGAA
rnacentral:rRNA from 1 species